AUUGAACGCUGGCGGCAGGCCUAACACAUGCAAGUCGAGCGGGGUUUUCGGACCUAGCGGCGGACGGGUGAGUAAUGCGUAGGAAGCUACCCGAUAGAGGGGGAUACCAGUUGGAAACGACUGUUAAUACCGCAUAAUGUCUACGGACCAAAGUGUGGGACCUUCGGGCCACAUGCUAUCGGAUGCGCCUACGUGGGAUUAGCUAGUUGGUGAGGUAAUGGCUCACCAAGGCGACGAUCCCUAGCUGGUUUGAGAGGAUGAUCAGCCACACUGGAACUGAGACUCGGUCCAGACUCCUACGGGAGGCAGCAGUGGGGAAUAUUGGACAAUGGGCGCAAGCCUGAUCCAGGCAUGCCGCGUGUGUGAAGAAGGCCUUCGGGUUGUAAAGCACUUUCAGUAGGGAGGAAGCGUUGUGUGUUAAUAGUACACAGCGUUGACGUUACCUACAGAAGAAGCACCGGCUAACUCUGUGCCAGCCGCCGCAGUAAUAC
rnacentral:rRNA from 1 species